rnacentral:snoRNA from 1 species
CCCCUCUCAGGAUGGCACCUGGAGAGUUUCCAGUACUCUACCAGUCUCGACUAUGGAGGAAGAGUCAAGCAAAGGCAUAUACAUUCCAUUCCUAGCUUGGCCAGUGCCUAGCAAGUGGAAGGCAAUCUGCUACAAGU